rnacentral:rRNA from 1 species
GAUGAACGCUGGCGGCGUGCCUAAUACAUGCAAGUAGAACGCUGAAGCUUGGUGCUUGCACCGAGCGGAUGAGUUGCGAACGGGUGAGUAACGCGUAGGUAACCUGCCUGGUAGCGGGGGAUAACUAUUGGAAACGAUAGCUAAUACCGCAUAACAGUCGACAUUGCAUGAUGUUGAUUUGAAAGGGGCAAAUGCUCCACUACCAGAUGGACCUGCGUUGUAUUAGCUAGUUGGUGAGGUAACGGCUCACCAAGGCGACGAUACAUAGCCGACCUGAGAGGGUGAUCGGCCACACUGGGACUGAGACACGGCCCAGACUCCUACGGGAGGCAGCAGUAGGGAAUCUUCGGCAAUGGACGGAAGUCUGACCGAGCAACGCCGCGUGAGUGAAGAAGGUUUUCGGAUCGUAAAGCUCUGUUGUAAGAGAAGAACGAGUGUGAGAGUGGAAAGUUCACACUGUGACGGUAACUACCAGA